GACGGAGGGUGCAAGCGUUGCUCGGAAUUAUUGGGCCUAAAGCGUGGGUAGGUGGUGUGAUUAGUCUGAGGUGAAAGCCUUGAGCUCAACUCAAGAAGUGCCUUGGAAACGGUCAGACUGGAGUGCUGGAGGGGGUCGAGGAAUUCCCGGUGGAGCGGUGAAAUGCGUAGAGAUCGGGAGGAACAUCGGAAGCGAAGGCGUCGACCUGGCAAGUAACUGACACUAAACCACGAAAGCGUGGGGAGCAAACAGG
rnacentral:rRNA from 1 species